rnacentral:rRNA from 1 species
CCGCAAGGUUAAAACUCAAAUGAAUUGACGGGGGCCCGCACAAGCGGUGGAGCAUGUGGUUUAAUUCGAUGCAACGCGAAGAACCUUACCUACUCUUGACAUCCACAGAAUUCGCUAGAGAUAGCUUAGUGCCUUCGGGAACUGUGAGACAGGUGCUGCAUGGCUGUCGUCAGCUCGUGUUGUGAAAUGUUGGGUUAAGUCCCGCAACGAGCGCAACCCUUAUCCUUUGUUGCCAGCACGUAAUGGUGGGAACUCAAAGGAGACUGCCGGUGAUAAACCGGAGGAAGGUGGGGAUGACGUCAAGUCAUCAUGGCCCUUACGAGUAGGGCUACACACGUGCUACAAUGGCGUAUACAAAGAGAAGCGAACUCGCGAGAGCCAGCGGACCUCAUAAAGUACGUCGUAGUCCGGAUCGGAGUCUGCAACUCGACUCCGUGAAGUCGGAAUCGCUAGUAAUCGUAGAUCAGAAUGCUACGGUGAAUACGUUCCCGGGCCUUGUACACACCGCCCGUCACACCAUGGGAGUGGGUG